rnacentral:rRNA from 1 species
UACGUAGGUGGCAAGCGUUGUUCGGAAUUAUUGGGCGUAAAGGGCGCGUAGGCGGCUCGUUAAGUCGGCUGUGAAAGCCCGGGGCUCAACCCCGGAAGUGCAUUGGAUACUGGAAGGCUGGAGUACCGGAGAGGAGGGUGGAAUUCCUGGUGUAGCGGUGAAAUGCGUAGAUAUCAGGAGGAACACCGGUGGCGAAGGCGGCCCUCUGGACGGAUACUGACGCUGAGACGCGAAAGCGUGGGGAGCAAACAGG